GUGCUUGCUUCGGCAGCACAUAUACUAAAAUUGGAAAAAUACAGAGAUUAGCAUGGCCCCUGACCAAGGAUGACAUGCAAAUUCGUGAAGCGUUCCAUAUUUUU